GACGAACGCUGGCGGCGUGCUUAACACAUGCAAGUCGAACGGAAAGGCCCUGCUUUUGUGGGGUGCUCGAGUGGCGAACGGGUGAGUAACACGUGAGUAACCUGCCCUUGACUUUGGGAUAACUUCAGGAAACUGGGGCUAAUACCGGAUAGGAGCUCCUGCUGCAUGGUGGGGGUUGGAAAGUUUCGGCGGUUGGGGAUGGACUCGCGGCUUAUCAGCUUGUUGGUGGGGUAGUGGCUUACCAAGGCUUUGACAGGUAGCCGGCCUGAGAGGGUGACCGGCCACAUUGGGACUGAGAUACGGCCCAGACCCCUACGGGAGGCAGCAGUGGGGAAUAUUGCACAAUGGGCGGAAGCCUGAUGCAGCAACGCCGCGUGCGGGAUGACGGCCUUCGGGUUGUAAACCGCUUUCGCCUGUGACGAAGCGUGAGUGACGGUAAUGGGUAAAGAAGCACCGGCUAACUACGUG
rnacentral:rRNA from 1 species